rnacentral:rRNA from 1 species
GUUAUCCGGAAUCAUUGGGCGUAAAGCGUCUGUAGGUUGUUUAAUAAGUCUGUUGUUAAAGACUAGGGCUCAACCCUAGAAAAGCAAUGGAAACUACUAGACUUGAGUAUGGCAGGGGUAGAGGGAAUUUCUAGUGUAGCGGUGAAAUGCGUAGAUAUUAGAAAGAACACCAGCGGCGAAAGCGCUCUACUGGACCAUUACUGACACUCAGAGACGAAAGCUAGGGUAGCAAAAGGGAUUAGAUACCCCUGUAGUCCUAGCCGUAAACGAUGGAUACUAGAUGUUGUGUUUAAUAUGCAGUAUCGUAGCUAACGCGUUAAGUAUCCCGCCUGGGGAGUACGCUCGCAAGGGUGAAACUCAAAGGAAUUGACGGGGGCCCGCACAAGCGGUGGAGCAUGUGGUUUAAUUCGAUGCAACGCGAAGAACCUUACCAGGACUUGACAUACUACAAAUUUCUUUGAAAAAAGGAAGUGCCUUCGGGAAUGUAGAUACAGGUGGUGCAUGGCUGUCGUCAGCUCGUGUCGUGAGAUGUUGGGUUAAGUCCCGCAACGAGCGCAACCCUUAUUUUUAGUUACUAAUUAAUUAGGUUUUCUAGAAAGACUGCCGGUGACAAACCGGAGGAAGGUGAGGAUGACGUCAAGUCAGCAUGCCCCUUAUGUCCUGGGCUACACACGUGCUACAAUGGUUAAAACAAAGGGUCGCGAGCUCGUGAGAGUCAGCUAAUCCCAUAAAUUUAGCCUAAGUUCAGAUUGUAGGCUGCAACUCGCC